AGACGUCUACAUUAGAUACCCCGGUAGUCCCAGCCGUAAACUAUCGCGCGUUAGGUGUAUCGGUGACCACGAGUUACCGAGGUGCCGAAGGGAAACCGUGAAACGUGCCGCCUGGGAAGUACGGUCGCAAGGCUGAAACUUAAAGGAAUUGGCGGGGAGCACCACAACGGGUGGAGCCUGCGGUUUAAUUGGACUCAACGCCGGGAAGCUCACCGGAUAAGACAGCGGAAUGAUUGCCGGGCUGAAGACUCUGCAUGACUAGCUG
rnacentral:rRNA from 1 species